UUAACUUACCAAGGAGUUGGAGCAACCUACCCUUUCUCAUUUAGGACCGGUUGCUCCAACUUCUUGGUAAGUUAACUGAUUGUUAAAUCAUAUGUUUAUCUUUGUUUUUCAUUUUCAAUUUAACCUUCUAAGUCCGUGAGAUGACUAUAGUCAUCGCUACUCAUGUACUCCUCAGAAAGCCGUGCGAUGCUUUAAGGCAUCGCGAAGUUAUCCGCGAAGAUUUUCAUAAAGCAAUAUAUAUUUUUCUUUAUCUUUUUAUUCCAAUAUUCAAGUCUUUAUGUAUAAUUUUGUUUUGUAUAGAGAAUAUGCUCGACUUGCUGGGAAUUGGAGUUAAGGAAAAAUUCCGCAAUCCGCAAAGGGUUAAACGAAGGCGGACACAUGUGAUUUAACCAUCAUUUAACUUACCAAGGUCCGGUUGUUUCAACUUGGUUGGUAAGUUAUGUAACUGAUAGUUAAAUCAUAUGUCUGCCUUUGUCUAAGUUGAAGGAAAAAUAAAGACAAACAUAUGAUUUAACUAUCGGUUAACUCACCGAGAAGUUGGAACAACCUACCCUUCCUCAUUUAUUUAUUCCGAUUGACGCGCGCGCGUGCGUACAUACGCUCUCUCGCUUGUCACAGCCGUAUUGCAUACAGAUCUAUUGUUAUCUUCGGGGCUAUUAAUAACCUCCUAAUCGGCGGUUCUGUACGAUAAUCCUUUCGCGCGGACAAACAGUCCUCCUUAUUUUUCUCUCGCGUGACGCUCGACGAAGAUAUUUACGCGGUUUGACGCAAACGUGACGGGGACAGCGUCGCAUUGAGCGAAUCGUGGAUAUAAUUUAUUAAAUACCAAAUUCUACAUACGUUUUACGAUAUUUCGUUUCUUGCGCCGAAUAUCACGGACGUGAUCGGUCGAAAUUUUCCUCAAUCUUUUCAUCUUGCUUACACGAAUCGACUUAACACGCGAAACAAUUAGGUUACUAGUAUUUUUUAACCUUUAACACUAGCCGCUAACGAGGUUCCCGCGAGCCUCGUAAACAUUCAGAUUAAGUUACAAUGUAAUUUUAAUUCACGUAAAGUCAUCACAGCGACGGAUCGCUGAUUUGAAUAAUCGAUAUUGCGUGCGGCUGGGAAACUCUCGUAACCUGGUUGCAUAGCGUGUUAAAAUUAUAAUAUAUUUGCUAGAUAACAUUCAUUUGUUAUUCAAUUUGCGUGUACAUGUUCAUUCAUCUCACUUAUUUUUUUCAUUAGUCUCGAUACGCUAUAAUUAACGCAAUAUUCGUGAGCGAGGGUUACGUUGCGCGGGAAAAAAUAAUACGAGAGAUGAGCCUUCCUUCCUUCCUUCCUUCCUUCGAUAUCGGCUACCGGCGUCUGUUGAGGCGAAUUCCCAAAUGCCAUUUUACGAUAAAUUAAGAUAAUAGAUAAGAAAAGUGAGAGUGAAGUGUGGCACAAAAAACAAGGACUGCGUGUACGCAGUCCCAACAGACAACAAUCAAGCGUAGUUUCGCAGCGACGAAAACCAACGGCUCCGGUUCGGAGGUCAACAAAAGACUCGAGAGAUGAGCGAAUCGGUCGAUCGUACUCGAGAUUUAUCGGUGACAAUCGCCCUGUUAUUACCGACUGUGAUCGAUAGUCGAUCGUUAAUCGAUUCUCCUGUCCUCCAUGUUGUUUUCAUUUCCUCCAUUGUUGUUGCUAUCUUCAAAUUCGUUCGCGGUGCGUGUCGAUUAUGUCAUGACGCGCGAUUGGAUAAAUAUUUACGAGAAGACGAGUGUGUCGCGUGUUAAAUAUUUACGUAUCGGCGCUCACGCAAUUCAGUGACGCAUUUGAGAGACGAAGGAUCGUCGCGCGAUUAGUGUUGCAAAGCCGCGCGACGUGUGAUGAGCAACUUAGCGACCGCAAUUAUCGUGACCUCCUGACCCCUCCCUCCCCCGGGAGCGCGCGCAGUGCAAUCCUGUGACGACAUGAACGCCGAUGAGCUCAACGGCAUCGAUUGACGUUGACGACGGAAUCGAUCUUGUCGAUUGACACCAAAUUCCAAACUUCGCGACCUAAAAAUGACCUAACCCCCAACCCGCUGCUUUCGUUGCAUUCCGAUCGGUGAUCGAGCGAUGUAUACCUCGCCAGAGAUUCGGGCCCGGGACAUUCAUGUGAUAUUCAUGAAUGAAUACUCAGCGGUGGAUCCUCAAACACGUCGGCUUCACGCAGCGUACGAAAUCGCAAAUUGAAUUCUCUCACGCGAGCCGGGUCGCGUAAAUUAUAACAUAAUUCCAGGGAAUAUAAUUAUAUUCCCUGCGAACGAGACGUCGCGCGUGUUCGCUCGCCGAGGGCCGAAAACCGACAGGGCUCUCGGCGGGCGAGACACGGUUGUCUCGCGUUGUUAAUUAAUCGCGCAUAGUCCUCGCGAAGGACCGGGCCUUCGUUUGAAGUCUAAUCUCUAAUGGAACGGUCGCGUCGCCUCAAUUAGGCCGGACUUAUUUUCGCCGAGCCGCGAUGUUUGAGCACGCAUUUGUAGCCACGCGACCGCGCCACGCGCCGCUCGUUACGCCCCGUCGCCGACGGCGAUUGUUUCCCCUCGCCUUCGGCGCAAAAAUGAUUAGAGCUGACGCGCUACGGAAAGCGAGUGCGUUGCAAUAAUUGCGUGGAGUGAAUCACGAGACAGAUUCGCGCGUCCGCGAAUUACGUGGAUUACGAGGCGCCGCUCGCGCGACCGCGCGAGCCUGAUUCGCCAUGAUACGGUCCAUUUGUGUUUUGACGUAUGUAUGUAUUCGCUGGAUAGGCCAGAGCAGGCAGAUGUGCGUCGUAUUCUCGCGAAAGCAUCGGCGACGGGUAUCUCCGUGAUUUCAUUACCUCAUCGCCGCUAUCGGCUAUCGGCUCGCGAUAACGCUCUCCCGAACGCGAACUUCAGUCGCCGGAUAAGCGGCAUUGACUGUGCGAUGUUUAUUAACUGAACUUUCAACCCGGUGAUUAAAAAUACCGAUCAAAAAUACCGCGUCCGUCUUCGUUCGUGUCGCCUUAUCGCCGUAACCGUAUGUAAAACACUCCGAGCAACAUCUAAAAAAAGACACAAGGCAAGUGAGGAGCCAGUGUGGACGUUUGAGCGAAAUUUGAUUGAUAUGAUGAAACAGCGCUUUACGUAGUGUAGUUAUUUGCGAUCAAAGUCGGAUUUCAAGCUGGAUAUUCGUCACGUCAGAAAGUCGAACGAACAUCAGAGUGUGCAGCAUUUGUUGGCUAUUGAUUGAAAAUUGGCAACCGAUAGUAAUAAUCAAAGGUAAGAAAAAUGAGAAAUCACUUGCCAGGCAGACGUGAUUCCUUAGAUUUGCCAAACAGACGAAGGUUCUCAGUGUUACAAACGUAGCGCAGCGGUAAAGCUUGUUGAUGACGCGACAACGUGUCGUUAUUUAUAAAUAUAAAUAUCACAAAGGGGCUCCGUAAAAAGUGAAUAUUUGCAACACAAAAAAUGUCAAAUUUAAGCACGAGGAAAUAAAGCGGGGAAACUUUAUUUUGAGAGGCUUCCUCAUGUUUAAAUGCAACAUUAUUUUUUGUAUUCAGAUUUUUUGCUGUUUCUCGCUCAAGAGGUUUCAGACGAUGAGAUCGCGACGUUCUCUCGAAUAAUAACAUGUAAAACAGUGUUUUGUUGAUGAAAUGCCACCCGGCGGGCACCAGCUCUUGUUUGUCUCAUUAUCUGCCUAAAUCGACCGUACAUCUUGAGAGUCUCUCUUCGCACAAAAACUGCCGAAGGAGAAACACCGCUGUUCUUCCGAAAAAAAAAAAAAAA